rnacentral:rRNA from 2 species
UUAGGAAUAUUGGGCAAUGGAGGAAACUCUGACCCAGCAACGCCGCGUGAAGGAAGACGGUUUUCGGAUUGUAAACUUCUGAUCUGUGGGAAAAAGAAAGUGAUGGUACCACAGGAGCAAGCCACGGCAAACUACGUGCCAGCAGCCGCGGUAAUACGUAGGUGGCAAGCGUUGUCCGGAAUGACUGGGCGUAAAGGGAGCGUAGGUGGUUUCUUAAGUUAAAUGUGAAAGCCCGGGGCUCAACUCCGGAAAUGCAUUUAAUACUGGGAGACUAGAGUGUAGGAGAGGUAGAUGGAAUUCCUAGUGUAGCGGUGGAAUGCGUAGAUAUUAGGAAGAACACCAGAGGCGAAGGCGAUCUGCUGGAAUAUAACUGACACUGAGGCUCGAAAGCGUGGGGAGCAAACAGG